GGGGGUGUAGCUCAGUUGGGAGAGCACCUGCUUUGCACGCAGGGGGUCAUCGGUUCAAGUCCGUUCACCUCCAC
rnacentral:tRNA from 5 species